AUGCGUGAUCAGGUCGGCAUCGACCUGGACGGCUUCCCCCUCGACCACGAGUUCCCGGACGACUACGGGCUAGAGGAAGAGGACGAGUGCGACAUCAAAGUGGAGCCUUUGUUCGAGGACGAGUGCGACAUCAAAGUGGAGCCUUUGUUCGAGGACGAGCUCGCCAACCAAGCCGCCGGUCCUAAGCCGAAGCGCAAGAGCAAGCGCACGAAGGCGUACACGGCGGCCGAGGACAAGCUUCUUUGCGAGUGUUGGCGAGACAUUGGACAAGACCCCAAGACGGGCACCGAGCAAAAGCAUUCAACCUUUUGGAUUCGUAUCCACCGAGAGUUUCAUGAGCGCAAAACUGGACGGACACCCAGUAAUCCUUCUAACCCAUGCGUCUACUCCAGUUGUGGGAGAUCCAUGCCCAGCACUGCGUCCGAAUCAGUCAACCUUUUUUUUCUCGAAUAUGCACGAGUGUGCAUAUUAUAUAUUAAAGAAGAAAGGCAAAACAGUGCCUCCACCAAGUUUUACAUAAGUUCCUUACACUUACUCCUCACUACUCGUCCACCUAUGUAA
rnacentral:rRNA from 1 species